rnacentral:rRNA from 1 species
UACGUAGCAGCGAGCGUUGUUCGGAGUUACUGGGCGUAAAGGGUGUGUAGGCGGUUGUUUAAGUUUGGUGUGAAAUCUCCCGGCUCAACUGGGAGGGUGCGCCGAAUACUGAAUGACUAGAGUGCGGGAGAGGAAAGUGGAAUUCCCGGUGUAGCGGUGAAAAUGCGUAGAUAUCGGGAGGAACACCGGUGGCGAAGGCGGCCUUCUGGACGGAUACUGACGCUGAGACGCGAAAGCGUGGGGAGCAAACAGGAUUGA